GAAUCUAUUGUUCAUUUCCAAAAAAAAAAAAGCCAGUGGGUGGGUGAAACAUAGAUUGUCGGGUUGCCUCUUAGUCAAUAAAACACAUGCACUUGCACAUUGACAAGUUAGAGGAGUCACUUCCGUGUGCCUUUCAUGUGUAGGAGAGCCCACAUUUUCUUUAGCAUUGGGAGCAAGAGUUGAAUUCUCUCAUUUGCAAAAUGAAAUUCUCUUUGGAAUUGAGUGCCUUCAUGUAUAUUUAUGGAAUCUGCAUAGCAAUAUAUUUGAAUGCAUUAGUGUCAGACAAUUAUUUGAAAUGUAUGUAAAAUGUAGUCUCAGAUGCUUUCAGAUAAUUUUAAUUGCGCAUCUCUAAUUUUUUGAAUGACCAUUGAUGCAUUGUUAUUUUCUAUAUUUAGAUUAUCCUGUCAGAUUGAGUGCAAUUCCCAUAUAAAUUGGACAGGCAACUUCCUUAUAGGUCUUUGGUUUUAGCCUGUUAUAAUACUACCAAUUUUGUAUCUGCAGGCCAUUUGGUUCAAGUUAGGCUUUACCAUUCAUCAAUGAUAAUUACUAGUCAUCUGUUGGCCAUUUGGUUCAAGUUAGCCGCUACUAUCUCUAUCUGUCAAUGAUAAUUUCUAGUUCUUGUCAAAUUCUCAGAACACGUUAUGUGGUAUUAAAAUAUUCGCCAAAGCAUGCAGCUACACAAAUUGCUUUCUUGGCUUUUGUUUUAAUUGAGUUUUGGAUCUUAAUCAUUUUAUUCUAAUGAGAUUUCUCAAUUGUUGGGGUUAUUCCAGUUAAUUUUUUUUGUUUCAAAGUAAGAAGCGAAGAGUUCAAACUAUUUUUUCAUAAAGACAGCCAUUCUGCUUAGGGAUUCACAUCUGAUGACUUGUUCUGGGCAGGUGACAUGCCGUUUACUUGGA
rnacentral:misc_RNA from 1 species